rnacentral:rRNA from 1 species
AUACGGAGGAUGCAAGCGUUAUCCGGAUUUAUUGGGUUUAAAGGGUGCGUAGGCGGUUUGCUAAGCGGGAGGUGAAAUGCCGGCGCUCAACGUCGGAAGUGCCUCCCGAACUGGUGGACUGGAAUGACUCUGCCGUGGGAGGAAUGUGUAGUGUAGCGGUGAAAUGCUUAGAGAUUACACAGAACACCGAUUGCGAAGGCAUCUCACGAAGGGUUGAUUGACGCUGAGGCACGAAAGCGUGGGGAUCAAACAGGAUUAGAUACCCUGGUAGUCCACGCAGUAAACGAUGAUGGCUAACCGCUGGUUUAUUCGGAUCAGUGGCCAAGCGAAAGCGAUAAGCCAUCCACCCGGGGAGUACGACCGCAAGGUUGAAACUCAAAGGAAUUGACGGGG